rnacentral:miRNA from 1 species
UAAUACUGCCUGGUAAUGGUGA